CGGGGUGAGUAAUGUCUGGGAACUGCCUGAUGGAGGGGGAUAACUACUGGAAACGGUAGCUAAUACCGCAUAACGUCGCAAGACCAAAGAGGGGGACCUUCGGGCCUCUUGCCAUCGGAUGUGCCCAGAUGGGAUUAGCUAGUAGGUGGGGUAACGGCUCACCUAGGCGACGAUCCCUAGCUGGUCUGAGAGGAUGCCAGCCACACUGGAACUGAGACACGGUCCAG
rnacentral:rRNA from 1 species